AGACUGAGCCUGGCAGAGGUCAGUGCCUUGUCCAAGGUCACACAGCCAGGGAGCCUAGAGACCAUCAAGCUUCAGAUGAUCAUGCAACAAAGGUUCCAGCCAGUUCCAGGUGAAGAUACCACUGCCAGGUGAAGAUACCACUGCUGGCCAUGAAAGAGCUACCCUGCCACCACUAGACAGAGCAGGGAACGCCAGGUGAUGGUGCAGAUUGAGCUGUGGAUUCACCUAGACAAAUACCCGCUUGGGGUUCACUUCCUGCCCAAGAAGCUGGAUGAGGCAGUGGCUGAAGUCCACCUGCACAAGCUAAAUGUGAAGUUGACCAAGCUGACUGAGAAGCAGGCCCAGUACCUGGGCAUGUCCAGUGAUGGCCCCUUCAAGCUGGAUGACUACCACUACUGAGAACCAGGCCUGCCCUUCACCUUCCAGCUGCUGUCCUUGCCUGGCCCCGCCUCCCUUCUCUAAGAGCAAAUGACACCAACUUUGUGAUUGUUUUGUCAAUGUCCCCCAUUGACUCCCUGGGGCUGGUCACUUAGUUUUUGACCUCUACUGCAUCCCUCAUACUGUUCCAAGUGUGGCAGGGGGAAUUGAAAAGCCCCCCUCAAGCUCUGGUCAUGAUGAAGGUACAAGGGAGACAUCCACAGGAAACUAUGAGCUCAGUGGUCUUGGAAUUGCUCACUAAGUCAGUCCUUCCUUAGCCUGGAAGUUGGUCAUGGAGUCAUAAAGCCCAAGUACUUUACCA